rnacentral:rRNA from 1 species
UGGGGAAUAUUGCACAAUGGAGGGAACUCUGAUGCAGCGACGCCGCGUGAAGGAUGAAGGUUUUCGGAUUGUAAACUUCUUUGACCGGGGAAGAGAUGGAGACGGUACCCGGAAAACAAGCCACGGCUAACUACGUGCCAGCAGCCGCGGUAAUACGUAGGUGGCGAGCGUUGUCCGGAAUUACUGGGUGUAAAGGGCGCGCAGGCGGUUAUAUAAGUCAGGUGUGAAAGCCCGUGGCUCAACUGCGGAACUGCAUCUGAAACUAUAUAUCUUGAGUGCCGGAGAGGAAAGCGGAAUUCCUGGUGUAGCGGUGAAAUGCGUAGAUAUCAGGAGGAACACCAGUGGCGAAGGCGGCUUUCUGGACGGCAACUGACGCUGAGGCGCGAAAGCGUGGGGAGCAAACAGGAUUAGAUACCCUGGUAGUCCACGCUGUAAACGAUGGAUACUAGGUGUAGGAGGUAUCGACCCCUUCUGUGCCGGAGUUAACACAAUAAGUAUCCCACCUGGGGAGUACGGCCGCAAGGCUA